rnacentral:rRNA from 1 species
UGGGGAAUAUUGCACAAUGGGCGCAAGCCUGAUGCAGCAACGCCGCGUGAGGGACGACGGCCUUCGGGUUGUAAACCUCUUUUAGUAGGGAAGAAGCGAAAGUGACGGUACCUGCAGAAAAAAGCACCGGCUAACUACGCGCCAGCAGCCGCGGUAAUACGUAGGGUGCGAGCGUUGUCCGGAAUUAUUGGGCGUAGAGAGCUCGUAGGCGGUCUGUCGCGUCUGCUGUGAAAAACCCGAGGCUCAACCUCGGGGCCUGCAGUGGGUACGGGCAGACUAGAGUGCGGUAGGGGAGAAUGGAAUUCCUGGUGUAGCGGUGGAAUGCGCAGAUAUCAGGAGGAACACCGAUGGCGAAGGCAGUUCUCUGGGCCGUAACUGACGCUGAGGAGCGAAAGCGUGGGGAGCGAACAGGAUUAGAUACCCUGGUAGUCCACGCCGUAAACGUUGGGCGCUAGAUGUGGGGACCAUUCCAUGGUUUCCGUGUCGCAGCUAACGCAUUAAGCGCCCCGCCUGGGGAGUACGGCCGCAAGGCUAAAACU